rnacentral:rRNA from 1 species
ACUGAAUAGAUACCCGGGUAGUCCACGCCCUAAACGAUGACAACUGGCUAUAAGGAGUAUCGACCCUCUUUGUGGCGAAAGCUAAACGCGUUAAGUUGUCCGCCUGGGUAGUACGGCCGCAAGGCUAAAACUCAAAGGAAUAGACGGGGACUUGCACAAGCGGUGGAUCAUGCGGCUCAAUUCGAUGACAAACGAAGAACCUCACCAGGGUUUGAAACCCAGACGAUCGCUCUAGGAAACUAGAGCUUCCGCAAGGCGGCUGGGCAGGUGAUGCAUGGUCGUCGUCAGUUCGUGGCUUGAGUUGUUCCCUUCAGUGGGGUAACGAACGCAACCCUCGUUGCCUGUUUUAAAACGUCAGGCGAGACUGCCCCCGUCACGGGGGUAGGAAGGUGAGGAUGACGCCAGACCAGCAUGUCCCUCUGAUAUCCUGGGCUGCACGCAUGAUACAAUGGACGAGACAACGGGUCGCGACGGAGUAAUCCUGAGCUAAU